CCUACGGGAGGCAGCAGUGGGGAAUAUUGGACAAUGGAGGCAACUCUGAUCCAGCAAUGCCGCGUGUGUGAUGAAGGCCUUAGGGUUGUAAAGCACUUUCAACGGUGAAGAUGAUGACGGUAGCCGUAGAAGAAGCCCCGGCUAACUUCGUGCCAGCAGCCGCGGUAAUACGAAGGGGGCGAGCGUUAUUCGGAAUUAUUGGGCGUAAAGGGCUCGCAGGCUGCUUGAACAGUUAGACGUGAAAUCCCCGGGCUCAACCUGGGAACUGCGUUUAAUACUAGCAAGCUAGAGAAAUAGAGAGGAAAGUGGAACUCCCAGUGUAGAGGUGAAAUUCGUAGAUAUUGGGAAGAACACCAGUGGCGAAAGCGACUUUCUGGCUAUUUUCUGACGCUGAGGAGCGAAAGCGUGGGGAGCAAACAGGAUUAGAUACCCUGGUAGUCCACGCCGUAAACGAUGUGUGCUAGAUGUUGGAAGGUUACCUUUCAGUGUCGCAGCUAACGCACUAAGCACACCGCCUGGGAAGUACGGUCGCAAGAUUAAAACUCAAAGGAAUUGACGG
rnacentral:rRNA from 1 species